rfam:Bat coronavirus HKT9-1, complete genome.
GAUAAAAGGUAGUAGCUGCGUGCUAUCGCCGAUCCUAACCCCCGUUUCGUCUUGUACGAAUCACUCUUGAACGAACUUAAAAUUGCAUCAUACGUCACGGUAGGUUUCGUCUUGCUGUGCGUACGUUGCACACCAAUUAUAGUGGAGCUUUUUGGUUAAGUACUUCCCCCUUGCGAGCAACAGGUGUCGUCCUGUUUGUUAGCCCUGCGCGGUUUCGUCCGUGUAGUGAUGGAGGGUGUGCCUGACCCACCUAAGCUUAAAAGUAUGGUGG